rnacentral:lncRNA from 1 species
UUGAAAUUAACCUGGUCACAAGCAUGUUUGCUUGGUAAACAACGCCCGACGUUCGAUGCAAUGAUUCCGCUCUAAUUAGUGCAGAAAUUAAGGUUCCAACUGCCAUAUUAGAAGGCAAGCUUGACCAGUUACAUUCAGAAGAAGAAGUCAAACAUGGAACCUUAAUUAGAAAAUCAAGAAAUUGAGAGCUUUGUGAAGAUAUUCAAAGGUGUUGGUCAUGGAUGGGCUUCAAGAUAUAGCGAGGAUAAUGAAUCUGUUGAGAGGAGUGCUGAGGUGGCCAAGCAUGUGAUUUUUUAAGCGGGUCGAGUGGUUAUUUUCGUAUCUCACUUAUGAAGGUGUAACAUGAUAUACUUGAAGCCAAGAACCUUACACUCUCAUUCAUCAUUGUAAAGCAUUGUGCUUUGGAGUAGAAUGAUGAGUUAGCUUCUGAAGUUGGAGACUUUACUUGAUGAUAGCAUGGGGCAAAAUGUCGAGUUGGAAUUUGAAAGGAGUGGCACGUCUUUGACCGUUCAGUUGGUGGUGAGCUGA